GACGAACGCUGGCGGCGUGCUUAACACAUGCAAGUCGAGCGGUAAGGCCCUUUCGGGGGUACACGAGCGGCGAACGGGUGAGUAACACGUGGGUGACCUGCCCUCAGCUCUGGGAUAAGCCUGGGAAACCGGGUCUAAUACCGGAUAUGACUCCAUGACGCAUGUUGUGGGGUGGAAAGCCUUGUGCGGCUGAGGAUGGGCCCGCGGCCUAUCAGCUUGUUGGUGGGGGUGAUGGCCUACCAAGGCGACGACGGGUAGCCGGCCUGAGAGGGCGACCGGCCACACUGGGACUGAGACACGGCCCAGACUCCUACGGGAGGCAGCAGUGGGGAAUCUUGCGCAAUGGGCGAAAGCCUGACGCAGCGACGCCGCGUGAGGAUGACGG
rnacentral:rRNA from 1 species